GGGUCAGUAGGUUGGUCGUGCCACCGGUACGUACUGGUCUCACUGAUUCCUCCUUCCUGAAGAACCGUAAUGCCAUUAAUUUGGUGUUGCGGGGAAACAGGACUGUUACUUUGAAAAAAUUAGAGUGUUUAAAGCAGGCUAACGCUUGAAUACAUUAGCAUGGAAUAAUGAAAUAGGGCGAUCGAUCCUAUUUUGUUGGUUUCUAGGAUUGACGUA
rnacentral:rRNA from 1 species